AGCCAUGAGCACAGGAUCUGGUCCAAUAGUUCAAUCUGGCCAUAGUUACGUUCGAGAGCACAAGAUCCAUCCCUAACACCUCAAUCCGGCCGUGCAGGAUCCGCUGGGGGAUGCGUCCGAUAGCUUCGACCUGGGCCAGGCGUCGUGCAGGAGCCUCAAUCCGACGAUGGUGGCAGCAGCAGCCACGAGCGCAGGAUCCGGCCCCAAUGGCUUGAUUUGGAUGUAGUGCCAUCGUGGAGCGCACGAUCUGCUAGGUGGCUACUGGUUGUAUUUCUUUGGAAUCUCAGAUUGCUCUUCAUUAAAUUCUUUUUGGUGGAUUUGUAUGUAGUAGCUCAAUCUGGCAAGCCAAGGUCGUGCUCAUCGUCUUAUCCAGGAGGCUUCCUCUACUAGUACGCUAAGAGCAGGUGAAUCGUCUUAUCCAGCAGUGGCUUCCUCUACUAGUAUGCAGAUAAUAAUUCUUAUCCUUAUAGUUUUCUGCUUGCUAGAAUGUGUUAUGCAUGAAUUUCUGUGAAUGUUUCGUUUUUAAAGAUCAGAAUUUCUGUGAAUGGUUACUAUAUUGCAGAUUAGUAGGAGUAUUUCUGAAUUCACAGCAAGAGUAUUUCUG
rnacentral:lncRNA from 1 species